rnacentral:rRNA from 1 species
UGAAAUGUUUUUUCGCCUAAGGAUAGGUCUGCGGCUGAUUAGGUCGUUGGUGGGGUAAUGGCCCACCAAGCCGAUGAUCGGUACGGGUUGUGAGAGCAAGAGCCCGGAGAUGGAACCUGAGACAAGGUUCCAGACCCUACGGGGUGCAGCAGGCGCGAAACCUCCGCAAUGUACGAAAGUGCGACGGGGGGAUCCCAAGUGUUAUGCUUUUUUGUAUGACUUUUCAUUAGUGUAAAAAGCUUUUAGAAUAAGAGCUGGGCAAGACCGGUGCCAGCCGCCGCGGUAACACCGGCAGCUCGAGUGGUAGCUGUUUUUAUUGGGCCUAAAGCGUUCGUAGCCGGUUUGAUAAGUCUUUGGUGAAAGCUUGUAGCUUAACUAUAAGAAUUGCUGGAGAUACUAUUAGACUUGAAGUCGGGAGAGGUUAGAGGUACUACCGGGGUAGGGGUGAAAUCCUAUAAUCCUGGGAGGACCACCUGUGGCGAAGGCGUCUAACUGGA